rnacentral:rRNA from 1 species
GACGAACGCUAGCGACAGGCUUAACACAUGCAAGUCGAGGGAUCGGCGCACGGGUGAGUAAUACGUAUCCAACCUGCCCUUUACUCGGGGAUAGCCUUUCGAAAGAAAGCUUAAUACACGAUAUAAGGGUUGGGGAUGCGUUCCAUUGGGUUGUUGGUGAUGUAACGGCUGACAAUGCCUUCGAUGGAUAGGGGUUCUGAGAGGAAGGUCCCCCACGUUGGGACAGAGGCGCAGUCCAAACUCGUGCCGGAUGCAGCGGUGAGGAAUAUUGGUCAGUGGGCGCUAGCGUGAACCGGCGAGGUAGCGUGGAGGAUGAAGGCUUAUAGGUCGUAGACUUCUUUUAUGUAGGAAUCUGUAUUAUAUGAGUAAGGAUCGGCUAACUCCGUGCCAGCCGCCGCGGUAAUUC